AUUCCUUUCGCAUGAUGAUUUAUGCCAGAAUGUAUGAAAUAUAAAGGUCUUGACCCCGUAACGACUAGAUUCCUGUUUAGACAGGAUGAAGAUGGGUAGAGUAAUCUAUUUCCAUAACACGUCGACCCCUAACGCGAAAGCGAAGGGUGAAGGUAUAGUCUACGUUUGAAGUAAUGUUCAAA
rnacentral:autocatalytically_spliced_intron from 1 species